UCUGUACCAACAAAAACAGAGCACCAUGGCUACUGAAACAAGUUCAACACUAAAACUUCCUCUGUUUUCAGUAAAUUCACAAGAAGAUUUAGGGACGUUAACUCCACUUCAUACUUUAGCUUCGAUUCCAUUCUCUUGGGAAGAAGAACCUGGAAAGCCUCGUCCAUGUACUGACCUUGUCCCUUUACCAAAUUCCAUAUGCUUAGAGCCACCUCCUAGGCUUUACAUGGAAUUAACCAAAAGUUCUUCUCCUACAACUGUUUUUGAUGGGCCUUAUAUUACUAGCAAGCCUAAGUUUUCAUCUUUUAGGCUCUUGAGGGAUCGGCGUCGACAAGGGUCAUUUGAUAGUACUGCUAGUUCUGAAACAGGGCAACUUAGUGCGUUUGUUGUUGGCAAGAAGAAAGCGGAAAGUAAAAGCUGGUGGCGUCGUAAUAAUGGCGGUAAAGGAAAAUUUGGUACCGAUUUAACAGAUUGUGUUAGUUUGAAUGAUGAAUGCACUAUGAAAAUGGCAACACUUAAGAGAAGUGGAAGCUUUUCAGGUCUCUCACAGACUAAAACUCACAUUUGGGCAACAAUAUACGAGGGUUUCAAGCAGGUAAUAAUACCAUGGAAGAGCAAAAAAUCAAAGAAAGAAGCGCUCAUUGACCAAGUGUCAACAAUGUAAUGCAGUGAGAUUUAAUAUUACUUUCUCUAGUCAUUUAAGUACUCCUGGUUAAAUACACAGGAACUAUAGAAACAAAAGUACCACGUCUCCUGACUUGAAUGUAGCAAUCUACUAUCAUUAGCCUUGAAUUUCACCAGAACCUAUUGUAAAUAUUGUGAGAUCAUUUUCUGGAUUCCAUUUCCACUUGUGUAUCCUUG
rnacentral:misc_RNA from 1 species